GAUGAACGCUGGCGGCGUGCCUAACACAUGCAAGUCGGACGGUGGCGACCUUUCGGGGUGACCACAGUGGCGCACGGGUGAGGAACACGUAGCUGACCUGCCCUGGAGCGCGGGAUAACCCUGGGAAACGAGGGCUAAGACCGCCUACGCUCGGCGACUGUAGAGGUCGUCGAGGAAAACCUUCGGGUGCUCUGGGAGGGGGCGUGCGGCCCAUCAGGUAGUUGGUGGGGUAAUGGCCUACCAAGCCGACGACGGGUCGGGGGUCUGAGAGGAUGAUCCCCCACACUGGGACUGAGACACGGCCCACGACUCCUACGGGAGGGCAGCAGUGAGGAAUCUUGCACAAUGGGGGCGAACCCUGAUGCAGCGACGCCGCGUGGCGAUGAAGGUCUUCGGAUCGUAAAGCCCUUUUCUGCGUGACGAGGACAAGGACGGUAGCGCAGGAAGAAGCGUCGGCUAACUACGUG
rnacentral:rRNA from 1 species